GAUGAACGCUGGCGGCGUGCCUAAUACAUGCAAGUCGAGCGAACAGACGAGGAGCUUUCUCCUCUGACGUUAGCGGCGGACGUGUGAGUAACACGUGGAUAACCUACCUAUAAGACUGGGAUAACUUCGUGAAACCGUAGCUAAUACCGGAUAAUAUAUUUAACCGCAUGGUUCAAUAGUGAAAGACGGUUUUGCUGUCACUUAUAGAUUGAUCCGCGCCGCAUUAGCUAGUUGGUAAGGUAACGGCUUACCAAGGCAACGAUGCGUAGCCGACGUGAGAGGGUGAUCGGCCACACUGGAACUGAGAAACGGUCAAGACGCCUACGGGAGGCAGCAGUAGGGAAUAUUCCGAAAUGGGCGAAAGCCUGACGGAGAAACGCCGAGUGAGUGAUGAAGGUCUUCGGAUCGUAAAACUCUGUUAUUAGGGAAGAACAAAUGUGUAAGUAACUAUGCACGUAUUGACGGUACCUAAUCAGAAAGCCACGGCUAACUACGUG
rnacentral:rRNA from 1 species